GGCUGAUGGCAUGAGUAUAGUGGUGUCCAUAAAUAACUGACCACAACCAGUUACAGUUUUCCUUGUUGCUUCUCCAUUCCAACUGCUUCACUUGACUAGCCUUUA
rnacentral:sRNA from 1 species